rnacentral:misc_RNA from 1 species
GAUGAAGAACGUAGCGAAAUGCGAUAAGCAAUGUGAAUUGCAGAAUUCAGUGAAUCAUCGAAUCUUUGAACGCACAUUGCGCCCGCCAGUAUUCUGGCGGGCAUGCCUGUUCGAGCGUCAUUUCAACCCUCAGGCCCCCAGUGCCUGGUGUUGGGGAUCGGCCCAGCCUUCCUGUAAGGCCGCCGGCCCCGAAAUCUAGUGGCGGUCUCGCUGUAGUCCUCCUCUGCGUAGUAGCACAACCUCGCAGUUGGAACGCGGCGGUGGCCAUGCCGUUAAACACCCCACUUCUGAAAGUUGACCUCGGAUCAGGUAGGAAUACCCGCUGAACUUAAGCAUAUCAAUAAGCGGAGGA